rnacentral:misc_RNA from 1 species
GAUGAAGAACGUAGCGAAAUGCGAUACUUGGUGUGAAUUGCAGAAUCCCGUGAACCAUCGAGUCUUUGAACGCAAGUUGCGCCCGAAGCCAUUAGGCCGAGGGCACGUCUGCCUGGGCGUCACACGUCGUUGCCCCCCCAUCUACUCCUUCGGGAUUGCGGGGGGCGGAUGAUGGCCUCUCGUGCGCCUCGUCGCGCGGUUGGCCUAAAUGCCAAGUCCUCGGCGACGCACGCCACGACAAUCGGUGGUUGCGAAACCUCGGUUGCCUGUCGUGUGCGGUCGUCGCGCAUCGAGGGCUCGAAAAAAUUGCCGGGCUUCGGCUCCACUUUCAACGCGACCCCAGGUCAGGCGGGGUUACCCGCUGAAUUUAAGCAUAUCAAUAAGCGGAGGA